rnacentral:lncRNA from 10 species
GAAAAAAAUUUAAAAUAUAUAAAAAGAGAGUUAAAUGGGAAAGAAACUUGCACUCAGGCCAUUUGUGGUUAUACCAAUAUGACCAGGCAUCCAGGUGGCAAAUCACACUGGGCCUUAAUUUUUGGCCUUACACUACAUCGUAGCUGACACCAUCCAGAGUGUAUGGCCCAUUCAAACCGAUCCAAUAUUACCACAGAACUGCAAUUCUAUUGGAUCCUAAAAGGAGCGGUGGUCUCAAGUAAUUCUGUGAGGACCUCCUUGCAUGGCUCCACAGAAACACAGAACCAUGUGUGGCUUCAGCUAUCCAUGACCCUAUUCCACUUCUGUGCUACACUUGCCAGCCCCUCAGCAAUGAUGACCUUUCCCUCAAUUACUUCUGUACUUCUGCCUGCAUCUCAUCUCUAUUAUCUCCAUGGAAGUCUGCCCCACGACAAGCUAUGCCCUCUGAUACACCCUACAUUCAUUGUCACUUACCUCCCUCUCCUGUGUGAAUGCAUAACACAGGUUAUGAAUGCCAAUAAUGUCCGCCAGGGACCCAGGCAAAACAUCUAGUCCUCAGCCUCCAACCAGUCCUUUCUGGUUCCCUAAAAGAUUUACUACCUUAUUAUGAAGUGUGCCCUCCAAAAUGGGACCCAUGGCUAACGCACCUUAGUCCACACAUUAGCUAUCAUAUACUGGAUGUCUCCAAUAUCAAUUCCUUCCCAGAUAUCCCGACCUAUGUGGACAAGCAUCUCAGGGUCUGAGCAUGGUGAAAACAACCCUCCUUAUAUUCCCAGUGACUAUAUUAUGCCUACUCCCAACUUGCUCAUCUCAGCUGAUACAGCUUCUAUCACUGCUGCUGCUAAGGCCAAAAACCCUAGGGUUGCCAGGCACGGUGGCUCGAGUCUGUAAUCCCAGCACUUUGGAAGGCUGAGCGCAGUGACUGUCAGACGUUGCACAGAACUCAGUGCUUCCCUGUCAUAGCAGAAAGCAAAACUGGGCUGAACUCAACGGACGCCUACCCAGGGAGUAAGCAUAGCGACCAGCCCAGCCAGAGGGGAAUCGCCCACCCCAAUGGUCAGGACUUGAGAUCUGGCAAGCCUUGCCACUGUGGGCUGGAGGGCUCUGAAGUCCUAAAUAAACUUGAAAGGCGGUCGAGGCCACAAGGACUGCAACCCCUAGGCAUGUCCUGUGCUGAGCUGGGCUCCGAGCCAGGGGACCUGGUUGGGUUGGGGGAGCACAACCUACUGAGACACCAGUUGAGGUAGCUAAGGGUGUGCUUGUGCCACCCCUCAUGCAACCCCAGGCUACGUGGCUCCUUCCUUCCACUCGAGGAGAGGAGAGGGAACAGCAAAAAGAACUUUGUCUUGCAUUUUGGAUGUCACCUCAGCCACAGGAUAGGGCACUGGGCAGGGUUGUGAGGACCCAUUCCAGGCCCACCCAGAUAAUAUUUCUAGACACACUCUGGACCAAAACAGAACCUGCUGCCUUGAAGGGAAGAAUUCAGUCAUGGGAGGACCCAUCACCUUCUGACUAAACAACCCUUGGACCCUGAAUAACUAGCAGCAGUACCCAGGUAGUAUGCGAUGGCACUGGGUGAGACUCUGAGACAUGCCAGCUUCAGAUGUAACACAGCACACUGCUAGCUGUGGUGGUUACGGUCAGAGACCCCACCUGCUUGAGAAUAACAGAGGAAAAAGUAAAGGGGACCUUGUCUUGCACCUCAGCUGCCAGCUCAACCACAGAGGGAUAGAGCACCAAGAAGCCUCUUGGGGUCCCUGAUUCCAGGCCUUGGCUCGUGGAUGACAUUGCUGGACCUGCCCUGGGUGAGUCUUGAAGAGUCAGCCUCAGACCAGGCAACAUUCACCACAAGCUGACUGAAGAGCUCUUAGCCCU